rnacentral:tRNA from 1 species
CGCGGGAUGGAGCAGCUAGGUAGCUCGUCGGGCUCAUAACCCGAAGGUCGUAGGUUCAAAUCCUGCUCCCGCAAUAUGGCUCGGUAGCUCAGUUGGUAGAGCAAUGGAUUGAAGCUCCAUGUGUCGGCGGUUCGAUUCCGUCUCGCGCCAUUUG